GACGAACGCUGGCGGCGUGCUUAACACAUGCAAGUCGAACGGAAAGGCCCAGCUUGCUGGGUGCUCGAGUGGCGAACGGGUGAGUAACACGUGGGUGAUCUGCCUCUAACUUCGGGAUAAGCUUGGGAAACUGGGUCUAAUACCGGAUAGGACAAUCGUUUAGUGUCGGUUGUGGAAAGUUUUUUCGGUUAGGGAUGAGCCCGCGGCCUAUCAGCUUGUUGGUGGGGUAAUGGCCUACCAAGGCGUCGACGGGUAGCCGGCCUGAGAGGGUGGACGGCCACAUUGGGACUGAGAUACGGCCCGGACUCCUACGGGAGGCAGCAGUGGGGAAUAUUGCACAAUGGGCGCAAGCCUGAUGCAGCGACGCCGCGUGGGGGAUGACGGCCUUCGGGUUGUAAACCUCUUUCGACAGGGACGAAGCUUUGGUGACGGUACCUGUAUAAGAAGCACCGGCUAACUACGUG
rnacentral:rRNA from 1 species